CCUACGGGCGGCAGCAGUAGGGAAUAUUGCUCAAUGGGGGAAACCCUGAAGCAGCAACGCCGCGUGGAGGAUGAAGGUUUUCGGAUUGUAAACUCCCUUUGUUAGAGAAGAUAAUGACGGUAUCUAACGAAUAAGCACCGGCCAACUCCGUGCCAGCAGCCGCGGUAAUACGGUGGGUGCAAGCGUUACUCGGAAUCACUGGGCGUAAAGAGCGCGUUGGCGGGAUAGGAAGUCAGAUGUGAAAUCCUAUGGCUUAACCAUAGAACUGCAUUUGAAACUGUUAUUCUAGAGUGUGGGAGAGGUAGGUGGAAUUCUUGGUGUAGGGGUGAAAUCCGUAGAGAUCAAGAGGAAUACUCAUUGCGAAGGCGACCUGCUAGAACGUAACUGACGCUGAUGCGCGAAAGCGUGGGGAGCAAACAGGAUUAGAUACCCUGGUAGUC
rnacentral:rRNA from 1 species